ACUUAUAUUCUGUAGCAAGGUUAACCGAAUAGGGGAGCCGGAGGGAAACCGAGUCUUAAUUGGGCGUUAAGUUGCAGGGUAUAGACCCGAAACCCGGUGAUCUAGCCAUGGGCAGGUUGAAGGUUGGGUAACACUAACUGGAGGACCGAACCGACUAAUGUUGAAAAAUUAGCGGAUGACCUGUGGCUGGGGGUGAAAGGCCAAUCAAACCGGGAGAUAGCUGGUUCUCCCCGAAAGCUAUUUAGGUAGCGCCUCGUGAACUCAUCUCCGGGGGUAGAGCACUGUUUCGGCUAGGGGGCCAUCCCGGCUUACCAACCCGAUGCAAACUGCGAAUACCGGAGAAUGUUAUCACGGGAGACACACGGCGGGUGCUAACGUCCGUCGUGAAGAGGGAAACAACCCAGACCGCCAGCUAAGGUCCCAAAGUCAUGGUUAAGUGGGAAACGAUGUGGGAAGGCCCAGACAGCCAGGAUGUUGGCUUAGAAGCAGCCAUCAUUUAAAGAAAGCGUAAUAGCUCACUGGUCGAGUCGGCCUGCGCGGAAGAUGUAACGGGGCUAAACCAUGCACCGAAGCUGCGGCAGCGAACGUAUCACUUAAAGCGAUUCAGCGGGUUACGAUUGACGGAGCGAAGCGACGUCAAAGCGUAUACAAAGUCGAGUCGGUUUAAGGAUACGUUCGUUGGGUAGGGGAGCGUUCUGUAAGCCUGUGAAGGUGGCCUGUGAGGGUUGCUGGAGGUAUCAGAAGUGCGAAUGCUGACAUAAGUAACGAUAAAGCGGGUGAAAAGCCCGCUCGCCGGAAGACCAAGGGUUCCUGUCCAACGUUAAUCGGGGCAGGGUGAGUCGACCCCUAAGGCGAGGCCGA
rnacentral:rRNA from 1 species